GUAGCGUUACUGACGCUGAAGCUCGAAGGCGCGGGUAUCGAACAGGAUUAGAUACCCUGGUAGUCCGCGCGGUAAACGAUGGACGCCCGCUGUUGGCACCUGGUGUCAGCGGCCAAGCGAAAGCAUUAAGCGUCCCACCUGGGGAGUACGCCGGCAACGGUGAAACUCAAAGGAAUUGACGGGGGCCCGCACAAGCGGAGGAACAUGUGGUUUAAUUCGAUGAUACGCGAGGAACCUUACCCGGGCUUGAACUGCCAGUGAACGAUUCAGAGAUGAUGAGGCCCUUCGGGGCGCUGGUGGAGGUGCUGCAUGGUUGUCGUCAACUCGUGCCGUGAGGUGUCGGCUUAAGUGCCAUAACGAGCGCAACCCUUCUCCGGAGUUGCCAUCAGUUUCAGCUGGGGACUCUUCGGACACUGCCACCGUAAGGUGUGAGGAAGGUGGGGAUGACGUCAAAUCAGCACGGCCCUUACGUCCGGGGCUACACACGUGUUACAAUGGGGCAUACAGAAAGCCGGUCGCAUGCGAGUGCGAUCCAAUCCUGAAAGUGCCUCUCAGUUCGGAUUGGGGUCUGCAACCCGACCCCAUGAAGCUGGAUUCGCUA
rnacentral:rRNA from 1 species